UUCGUCGCACUAGUUUUGGGGAUUAAAACUAUCUUUGUGAAAUUCACCUCUUCCAACGAUAUCUCUCUAUUUAGAGCUAUUCUUAAAAUAUCGAAUUGCGAUUUUUAAUUUUUCAUCCUCCUCCUCCCUUAUAAUCCCAUCACCAUAUCACAAUCCCUUAAUAUUGUUCACUUUACACCAAUAAUUAGCAUAAGAAUGAAAAAAUUUAGUGUUACGAUCACCAUACCUUAACCAAUUAGCUGGAUCGUUGCUCCCAGUGUA
rnacentral:lncRNA from 1 species